UACGAAGGGGGCUAGCGUUGUUCGGAAUUACUGGGCGUAAAGCGCACGUAGGCGGAUCUUUAAGUCAGAGGUGAAAUCCCAAGGCUCAACCUUGGAACUGCCUUUGAUACUGGGGAUCUCGAGUCCGGAAGAGGUGAGUGGAACUGCGAGUGUAGAGGUGAAAUUCGUAGAUAUUCGCAAGAACACCAGUGGCGAAAGCGGCUCACUGGUCCGGUACUGACGCUGAGGUGCGAAAGCGUGGGGAGCAAACAGG
rnacentral:rRNA from 1 species